CUCUGGCUUACUACCCAGUCUCUUGCUACCUAGUCUGUCUUCUUGUAAAUUGUAUCCAAUUGUGGCAGGGCACUGUUGGUGCCUGCCAUUUUAAGGGCUGAGCCAAGCAGCCUGCAGGUGCUUGAUUGCGGUGGCCAUUUUAGAUCUCUGGCUGCCUAUAUAAACAGAGCAGUUUGCUACUAUUAGGAUAGGCAGAAAUAUUGUCUGGCUCUAUGCAACAUCCGGGAGAGGAGAGACCGAGAGAGAAGAGAAAGAUGCUGAUGCUAUGUGUUUCAAAAUCUUCUAAGAUACUUCAGCUCCAUCUGUUCGCCGGCAGCCUACUUCACUUAUUCUUGGGAUUCUCUGUCUGGUUUUGCUGAUGGCAACAGGAGUUUUGGGUUACCUGGUUUUAGUCACUGAGCUCAGCUGUGAGAAGGGAAACGUCACCCAGCUGCUGAUGUCCUGCCCAAGCCAGACACCGUGCCUUCCAGGAACUCCAGAGGAACAGCCUCGUGAUGCAGGUAAAUGAUGGAACAGCAGGAGUUGUAUGCUCAGGGGAGAAGUGUCCAGCACGGUGGGUUGUCCACAAGGACAGUUCCUAUCUCUUUUCUCCUGAAAAAGGAACUUGGGAAAAGUGUCAUUCCUCCUGCAUUUCACAAUCUGCCCAGCUACUCACCACUGAGGGUGGAGAAGAGCUUGAUUUCAUAAAAAAAGAAUCAUUUCACUAUUUUGAAGAUCAUGAUGGUGUUACCCAGUACCACACAUUCUGGAUUGGACUGUCGUAUGAUCCUGGAUCCAGGAAGUGGGUUUGGGCAGAUGACUCGGAUCUCUCCUCUGGCUUGUUUGAUCUCCAAGACCUCAGUCAUCAGAAUGAUCAGGACAGAGUUUGUGCCUAUAUCGAAGGUGGGAGAGCUAAGGCUGGAGGAAUCUGCAGAGAAACUCACUUCUGCAUUUGUGAGAAGAGAAGGAAGGAACCGGUAGGGACACAUUAACAGGAAAACCCCACCAGUUGUGCUGCUCACGGGGGACUGAUCAAAGCCAUAACUGCAGCAGGGAGAGGAGUGUGGUGGUGUGGAAGUGCGCCCUUCAUCCAAGAACCUGGAGACCUCUGCUGUUUGUGUUCAGGGAGAACAAGAAAACCUUAAAUUGCAUCAUGGGGCAGUGGGGCUGCUAGCUCGGGGUAGGUUGGCAUGCCACAUAGACGCAGGCCAACAUCAUUUAUUUCCGCCUCCUUGGGAAUGUCUUAUGUGUGCCUAUUUCCUGAAUCAGUUCCUAAGCAACACAGCUGCAUGUGCUGGAGCCAACAGACAUGGGGCCUUUCUGCUUAACCCCCCAGAUCUCACUUCUCCAUUUUGUAUUUUGAGUAUCCAUUGGCAACCAUUUGGGCAGAGAGGAAAACCCAGGAGGCAAGGGUGUGUAUGGCCAUAGGGGUACUGCAGACCUCUGAAAAUGAGAGAGGGAAAAACACCUGCAUCCUGCAGUGACUGCCCCUCCCCAGGUGCAGAUGCACCCUGAUCUUUGCAGCGCAGAGCCUGGAAUUGCCCGACUACCAAAGACCCAUGGCAUGGGUUUCCUACAUUUGCCUGUGGAGAUGCCAUGUUCUCUAUUUGCUAUGGGAUUUGGCCUUUGCUUCUGAAAUAAACCAU